AAUUUUGUGGGGGCUGGAGGUGGCAGCGUUAGGUUGUCGGUCUGGAGCAUGUUGUGCAAUGUAAUCCUUGAUAGUCUGCUAACACGUUAGUUAAUUAUUAUUUCAAUAUAUUUUUUAAAUUAUGCAGAUUUCUUCAUGUUAAAACCUUUGUUUUAUUAAUUUGAAGUUUCUUGACAUGUACAUUGAUAGGAACAAUAAUUCUGAAAAUUUUGUUUAUAGUCAUGACUUGUUGCUUGUGUACGUUCCAGUUAGGUACUUGUUCUUUAUCGUCUAGUUGUCUGCUCUUAGCUUCGUGCUUUUUCAAUCAACAGCUACAAUUUAUCGUUGUAACUGAAAUAUGUAAAUUUUAUUGCCUCGUAGUUUUUUAGAAAUGGAAUAAAUGAUAGUAGUCUUAUUUUUCACCAGUUUAUAUUUUUUAAAUUAUGCAGAUUUCUUCAUGUUAAAACCUUUGUUUUAUUAAUUUGAAGUUUCUUGACAUGUACAUUGAUAGGGACAAUAAUUCUGAAAAUUUUGUUUAUCGUCAUGACUUGUUGCUUGUGUACGUUCCAGUUAGGUACUUGCUCUUUAUCGUCUAGUUGUCUGCUCCUAGCUUUGUACUUUUUCAAUCAACAGCUACAAUUUAUGGUUGUAACUGAAAUAUGUAAAUUUUAUUGCCUCGUAGUUUUUUAGAAAUGGAAUAAAUGAUAGUAG
rnacentral:lncRNA from 1 species